UUAGGAUCUUGCUGACAUUGAGCCUCUGCUGCAGGAGCUUGGCUGCUAUGGCCACUGAGUUGAAAUAACAGAAUCCCCUGAGGAUGGAGGUGGCCAAAGCACACAUACCAGAAGGAGCAGCACAAUGAAGCAAAAGUGAAGCAAAAAAUGUGGACCGUUGUCAUGCCUAUAGCCAAUGAGUUUGCACCAGAUGAAGUUAUGGCAUCAGACACCGGGGACGAUACAAACUGACAGGUAAAUGCACAAUAAGUAUUCAUUAAGUCAUUUAAUUAACCUAAAUUGUGUUGGAAACAAGCUAAUAUGUACUAUAUGUUUGAACGGCUUUGCAUGAACUAGUUUAAGCAACUGCGUAAGAAUACAUGGUGAUGCGGCGCAAAAAGUCACGCAUAGUUACUGCUGUACUUACUGUUUUUCAUUUCAUUUUUUUGAUACUUUUGUCUAGAAGUGUUUUUCACACAAAUAUUGACCGUGAUUAUUACUUUACUUUACAAAGGAUAGUGAGACUGACACGUUCCCACCUAAGUAAAAAUUCGGGUUAGAUGGCUGCCUUCAGAACAGUCGUUUACCAUCGUAAACCGAGGAAACCAAGCGUCUCUUCUUUCC